UACGUAGGGGGCUAGCGUUGCUCGGAAUCACUGGGCGUAAAGGGUGCGUAGGCGGUUCUUUAAGUCUGGGGUGAAAUCCUGGAGCUCAACUCCAGAACUGCCUUUGAUACUGAGGAUCUUGAGUUCGGGAGAGGUGAGUGGAACUGCGAGUGUAGAGGUGAAAUUCGUAGAUAUUCGCAAGAACACCAGUGGCGAAGGCGGCUCACUGGCCCGAUACUGACGCUGAGGCACGAAAGCGUGGGGAGCAAACAGG
rnacentral:rRNA from 1 species